rnacentral:rRNA from 1 species
AUUGAACGCUGGCGGCAGGCCUAACACAUGCAAGUCGAACGGUAACAGGAAGACGCUUGCUUCUUUGCUGACGAGUGGCGGACGGGUGAGUAAUGUCUGGGAAACUGCCUGAUGGAGGGGGAUAACUACUGGAAACGGUAGCUAAUACCGCAUAACGUCGCAAGACCAAAGAGGGGGACCUUCGGGCCUCUUGCCAUCGGAUGUGCCCAGAUGGGAUUAGCUAGUAGGUGGGGUAACGGCUCACCUAGGCGACGAUCCCUAGCUGGUCUGAGAGGAUGACCAGCCACACUGGAACUGAGACACGGUCCAGGCUCCUACGGGAGGCAGCAGUGGGGAAUAUUGCACAAUGGGCGCAAGCCUGAUGCAGCCAUGCCGCGUGUAUGAAGAAGGCCUUCGGGUUGUAAAGUACUUUCAGCGGGGAGGAAGGGAGUAAAGUUAAUACCUUUACUCAUUGACGUUACCCGCAGAAGAAGCGCCGGCUAACUCCGUG